AUUGAACGCUGGCGGCGUGCCUAACACAUGCAAGUCGAGCGGUAACAGGUGUAGCAAUACAUGCUGACGAGCGGCGAACGGGUGAGUAAUGCUUCGGAAUCUACCCAAUGGUGGGGAAUAACCAGCCGAAAGGUUGGCUAAUACCGCAUACGUCCCACGGGAGAAAGCAGGGGAUCGCAAGACCUUGCGCCAAUGGAUGAGCCGAAGUCGGAUUAGCUAGUUGGAGGGUAACGGCCUACCAAGGCGACGAUCCGUAGCUGGUCUGAGAGGACGACCAGCCACACUGGGACUGAGACACGGCCCAGACUCCUACGGGAGGCAGCAGUGGGGAAUAUUGGACAAUGGGGGAAACCCUGAUCCAGCGACGCCGCGUGUGUGAAGAAAGG
rnacentral:rRNA from 1 species